AAGAAGAUAAGCUAAAUAAGCUAAUGGGUUCAUACCCCAUUUAUAAAGGUUAUACCCCUUUUCUCCUUA
rnacentral:tRNA from 1 species